ensembl:snoRNA SNORA75 Small nucleolar RNA SNORA75
CACUAGAAGACAGAAUUCACAGAAGUAGCAUUUCACCUUUUGUCUUUACAGAAGUAUAUUUGGCUGUUUUGUGAGACAUUC